AUUGAACGCUGGCGGCAGGCCUAACACAUGCAAGUCGAACGAGUGGCGGACGGGUGAGUAAUGUCUGGGAAACUGCCUGAUGGAGGGGGAUAACUACUGGAAACGGUAGCUAAUACCGCAUACCAUCGGAUGUGCCCAGAUGGGAGGAGCUAGUAGGUGGGGGAAAGGCUCACCUAGGCGACGAUCCCUCGCUGGUCUGAGAGGAGGACCAGCCAGACUGGAACGGAGACACGGUCCAGACUCCGACGGGAGGCAGCAGUGGGGAAGAUUGCACAAGGGGCGCAAGCCUGAUGCAGCCAGGCCGCGUGUAUGAAGAAGGCCUUCGGGUUGUAAAGUACUGUCAGCGGGGAGGCGUUACCCGCAGAAGAAGCACCGGCUAACUCCGUGCCAGCAGCCGCGGUAAUUC
rnacentral:rRNA from 1 species